rnacentral:rRNA from 1 species
GACGAACGCUGGCGGCGUGCCUAAUACAUGCAAGUAGAACGCUGAAGGAGGAGCUUGCUUCUGUGGAUGAGUUGCGAACGGGUGAGUAACGCGUAGGUAACCUGCCUGGUAGCGGGGGAUAACUAUUGGAAACGAUAGCUAAUACCGCAUAAUAUUGACUAUUGCAUGAUAGUCAGUUGAAAGGUGCAACUGCACCACUACCAGAUGGACCUGCGUUGUAUUAGCUAGUUGGUGGGGUAACGGCUCACCAAGGCGACGAUACAUAGCCGACCUGAGAGUGUGGUCGGCCACACUGGGACUGAGACACGGCCCAGACUCCUACGGGAGGCAGCAGUAGGGAAUCUUCGGCAAUGGACGGAAGUCUGACCGAGCAACGCCGCGUGAGUGAAGAAGGUUUUCGGAUCGUAAAGCUCUGUUGUAAGAGAAGAACGAGUGUGAGAGUGGAAAGCUCACACUGUGACGGUAUCUUACCAGAAAGGGACGGCUAACUACGUG